rnacentral:rRNA from 1 species
UACGGGGGGAGCAAGCGUUGUUCGGAUUUACUGGGCGUAAAGGGCGCGUGGGCGGCCUCCGCAAGUCGACUGUGAAAUCUCCGGGCUUAACCCGGAAAGGUCAGCCGAAACUGCGGGGCUAGAGUGCAGAAGGGGCAACUGGAAUUCUCGGUGUAGCGGUGAAAUGCGUAGAUAUCGAGAGGAACACCUGCGGCGAAGGCGGGUUGCUGGGCUGACACUGACGCUGAAGCGCGAAAGCUAGGGGAGCGAACGGG